ensembl:lincRNA
GAAAUGCAACUGGGUGCAGUGACACACGCCUAUAGUCCCGGUUACUAGGAGGCUAAGGCAGAAGGAUCCCAUGAGUCCACGAGUUUGAAACCACCCUGAGCAACACAGUGAGAACCAGUCUCAAAAGAAAGGAAAAAAGAAGAUGAAGGAAGAUGAAGGAAGGAAGGAAGGAAGGAAGAAGAGGGAGUGAGGGAAAGGGGAAAGAAAGAAAAAAUGCAGCAUGUUCAAGUUAUUAUAAGGAAGAAAUUCUAGUUUUAGAUAAAGGUAGGAGAGGGUAAAUGUUGAGGAUGAAUCACUGGAAGAGUCAAACAGUGGAACAAUUUUCCCUGGAAUUCUGCCUGAGUGCAAUGGGCAUUAGAAAGAGCAUUACUGUGGUGGUAACACUGAAAGUUUUGCAGUGUCAAGCCAAUCACAGCAGGGCUCAUUUUCACAUCUAUGCGAAGACGGGAUUGAGCCAAUUGAACCUGAAGAUACCCUCUAUUUCGAAAGUGCUUGCAGUGUCAAAUAACAAGUGUUCUGGUGACCUAGUAGUCAUACGGAUCCAUCCAUUCGGACAUCCAAAUCAUGGGAAAGGAAGCCAAAAAUUCAAGGUAAAAUGUUUUUUUAAAAACUGAAUAAAUAAAUGUCUCU